UACGGGGGGUGCGAGCGUUGUCCGGAAUCACUGGGCGUAAAGGGCGCGUAGGUGGUUUGAUAAGGGUGUGGUGAAAGCCCGGGGCUCAACCCCGGGUCUGCCGGUGCCGACUGUCAACUCGAGGGCUGUAGAGGCAGACGGAAUUCCGGGUGUAGCGGUGGAAUGCGUAGAGAUCCGGAGGAAGACCGGUGGCGAAGGCGGUCUGCUGGGCAGUUUCGUGACACUGAUGC
rnacentral:rRNA from 1 species